UCUUGCCUUUCAGACAGGAAGCUCCUCAGAACAAAUAUGCCUUUACUUCUGUGUCUGAAUGUCUUCUGCUACGACAGAGCCCUGAUCUUCAUGAGAAUCCUGAGUUUCUCUUCUCUUGCAGGGGAAGGAGGCUGCGGUCGCUGAGGGAAGAAUUCACCACCACUGUGGGAUUGUGUCUCCUGCUGCCUUCUACCCUGAGAGGAGCUGCUCUGAGAGCAUUUGCACUGGGACCUCGUUAACACCGACCUCACCAAACACAGGACUUUGACCUUGGGUGCCUCAGGGAAAUCCCAGGAUCCUUGAGAGGAAGAGAUGUCCAGUUUGCUCCCAAGUGGAAAACAUCUAUGAGCCCCAAGAUCAUCCAUCUCUGACAGAGAUGGGAAUUUAAUAAUAAAUAGCUGUUAAAUGCUGAAUAAGAACUGUCACAGAGGGCCUGGUGAGAAGAAGACUCACUUGAACUUUGUCCUGAGGCUGCUUUCCCCAGUUACUGAUCUGGAUUAUUCUAUUAGCUGAGGUCAAAGCAAAAUCCUUCUGGAGGGAGGCCGGGGGAAAGCAGUGAGAAAAACCCCUUCCUCUCUCAAGGAUGGAACUGCAAUGGCCUUAGCUAGGGAUUAAAUAGAUGGGCAAGUCCCUAAUUAUGCCUCAGUUAGAUAGCAAAGAACACCAGGGGAAGGAGUGGAAAAGGGAAGAUAGGACUGUUUAUUGAACAGGAGAGGAGCAGAGAUGCCCAGGGAGAUGCAGAGAAGCCAGAACUCUGUGUAGGAGAAGUAGAUGAUUGGGGUGAUUUGCCCAGGCCUCAUCCAGAGCAUGCAAGGAUAAGUGGUGCAGAGAUUCAUCAGUCAUUGUUCAUGCCAAGCUUACACAAGCUGGGAAAGCCACACGUCAUCAUGCAGAGCUGGGCUGGAGUCAGCUGCUUUGGGGAUAUCUGCUCUGGGAUGGAGCCCUUGGCUGCAGCUCUUGCUCCUCUGCACCUCCACACCAGGCUCAUUUAUCUCCUUAUCCUGGGAUAUCUCUCCUGGAACAAGCAUGGAAGGAGAACACCGACCACAGAGGGCCCAAGUCCUGCGGUGCUUGGGGCUCACACCACGCUGCCAACGAUGUGUUGUCCUCUCAGCCUGUAAUUCACACCUUGAGAUGUCCUACAGCCAAUUAGCUCAUCAUGGCUAAUCCACUGGUCUGUCCCAGCCCACGGGGGUUCAGUCCCAACCUUCUUUCCACGUGCCAGCAUGUCAUGAUAACCUGAGACAUUAUGACAGGAGACAGCAUCCAGCAGGAUUUGUGCAAGGAACGCUGCAGAGGGAGCCCACCCCACCUGAAACCAGCAGGAGUGUGUGGGGUUUGUGGGGUUUGGCUGAGAUGGAGUUCAUUUUCCCCACAGCAGCCCUCACAGUGCUGGGCUGUGUACUGCUAACUGGGAAGGUGAUGGUAACACACCGGUGAGUUGGUUCUGCUGAGCACCAAGGCAACCUCUCCAACAUUUCCCCCACAGCAGCAGGAUGGGCAUGGGCAAGAUUUUGGGAAGAUCACAGUCAGGACAGCUGACCCAAAUGGACCAAAUGGAUAGUCUGUAUUAUAUGACAUCUGGUCAGCAAUAAAAGCUUAGAGAAAGCAUUUGCUAUGAUAUUUGCCUUGCAGAGAACCAUUUACAUUUAUUGAAUCCCUACUUCCUGCUGAUGGAAAGUAAAGAAUAAAUCUUUUCUUUUUCUUUGCUGCUGCUUGGGGCAUUUGCUUUUGUUUAAUUAAACUGCCUUUGCCUUGACAUGACUUUUUCCAUCUUAUUUUCCCCCUUUCUCCACCCUGCUGAGAAAAGGAGUGGUAGAGAGGUUUGGUGGGCACCUGUUGUCCAGCCAAGGUCAGCUCCCCUCAGAGAAGCAGAAGCAAACCAAGCAGGUUAAUGUUUCUUUUAGAGGUUGCAGAGCCUACAUGUCUGUCUCCAAAGGUUUGCAGCCUCAAGGCGAAAUCAUUUCUUCACAGCUGAGUUUUGCCUAAGGCUGCAUGGCUGAGCUGAAGCAGAAGGAGGAACAGGCUCAUGGGCUGAUUGUGCAAUGCUGAGGAGGUCAAAAGGAUAGAAGUGCUGGGACACUGGGGCUGAGCUGCAGGGCAGGGACAGGAAUGUGCUGCAGGGUGGAGAAGCUGCUCCCUGCUCUGGGAAAGAGGGCAGGUCGAUGCAGAGCCGGGCUCCAAGUUUGGGACAGGCCUGGGAAACAUUGAUGUUUUUCCCCAAAAUGGCAAAAUGAUGCUUAUCCAUCAUUAUUAUGUCACUCGGCAUGGGGAUGGCCCAAAGGCUCUGCAGAGGUCAGCGGGCUGAUCCAUAAAAAGGCACCCAAAGAUGAGCUCACUUCUUUCACUUGAAAAAGGAGUGGGUGAAAUCUUUAAUCUCUGGAGUCAGAAACAGUUUGGAGACUUGAUAGCUUGAAACUCCAGUUUUCAGUAUCCAUCAUUCUUGCAAAUGCAACUGACUCCAUCUCUCACUGCCAAGGGCUAUUUCAGGGCUGUUCAUUCCUCCCUAGGACAUGUCCUUAGAAAAUAUCUUGUUUCUUGGUUGAAUCCAAAAACAGGUUAUGUCUGAACAGCAACCCACUCCUUGUGGCUCAUUUAAAGACACCAUAAGUGGACAAAUCCCUUGAUUAUUACAGAAAUUACCUUAAACCAUCCAUGUCACUCACAACUGGACAAGAUCCUAUGACCCUGUGGUUACAGGACCAUCCUGAGGUUCAAUCCUGUGGGAUCCUGAGUGUGAGACUCGUCUCUGAGUUCCAUGAGAAGUGAGGGCACCCAGCACCA